rnacentral:tRNA from 3 species
GCUGAGGUGCCGGAGCGGUCAAUCGGAGCAGACUGUAAAUCUGCCGCCCGACAGGGCUACGUAGGUUCAAAUCCUACCCUCAGCA